GAAUGAUGGCGCAAGCUACUGAGCUUUAUCUUAUUUUGCUAACGGCUAAGCUAACGUUAGCCGGAAUCAUGGCGGAAGCCGUUCAACUGAGUAUUUCUGCUGGACUGCACAUGAGCUGUGUGAGCCGACAACCCGCCUCCCCAACAACAGAGGAUGGACAGCGUCUUCCCACUUGUCUCAGCUGAGAGAGGAGUGUGACCCGGACCCAUCAGCCACAUGGGGAACUUUACAAGUAGGUACACCCGUCCUUUCUCUUGAAACAACACACAGACACAGACAGA